CACUGCACUCUAGCCUGGGUGACAAAGCAGGACUCUGUCUCAACAACAACAAAAACUGCAGAUUCACAGGCCCAAUCCAAUAAUUAAUGAGAAUCUUUGGGGAUUCAGGAAUCUGCACUUUUAAUACACCCCAUGUGAUUCUGCCAUGCACUAAAAUGUGAAUCACCGCUACAUUUCUGCAACCUUUAAAAACUAAGGUGUGUGUCUCAUUUUACUUCAGGACGGAGCCCUGACAGCAAUGUUUGCUACGGCCUCCCUCUGCAGUCAGCCUAAAGCAAGGAGCUGGAGGUAGAUGAGGCAAAGGUAAAGGAGACCAAAACAGUAUUUUAAAGAAAAAAUCAUUUAUCUUCAAAUAGGCUCCAAACCUAAGAUGGUGUAUACUGUUAGAGGACAAGAACCUGCUUCUAGCCAUCUUUGCGUCUCCAGGACCUGACUUGUGACCAUUCAAUAAGAGUUUGAUAGAUGGACAGACUAAUGAAUAGAUGAAGAUGAUUAGAAGCCAAAAUUUCUGAAUCUUCCUAGCACCCAGAACAUGGCUUAACAUCAAGGAAAUGCUCACUAAAUACUGUCAUAAUGGAAUGAAUGGAACCGAUGCCUAAUUGAAAAUCAUUAGGCUGUAAACCAUUUCCAUGUUCCAAUUUCUUCGUUUAUAGAACAGAAAUGAUAGUGUAACCACCUGAAAAUCCUUCACCUAGACUUCCAAAACCACACCCACCUCAUCAAUGAAGUCUGACUCUCUAGAAAGAAGCAAAUGACUGAAAUCAUGGUCCUGUGCCUUGACCAAAAUACCAUUCGUCAGAACAAAAGAAGUAGGUCAGUGAAACGGCAUUAGUAUAUCCUUCAACAGGCAAAUAAGUGAUAGUGUAGUUUGCUUUUGAAGUCGCUGUGAAAAGUUUUAGGUGAACAUCACCUACACCACAUUAAAAAUGGAAUCAAGUCAUUUUCUUUAAGAAAUGGAGUUUGAGAUAUGAGAAUUCUUUUGGGCUUUUUCUACUUAUUGGCCAAUUAUACACCCAGAUAUAUUUCUGCAAUAUUUCAAAGAUUCUAGUUCUAAUUUGUAUAAUAAAAAAAAUUAACAGCCUUUUCCAGACCACAUGUUUCCAACAAGACCUUCAAAGGCCUCGCUCGCUAUAUAAAACUGGCUUUAAACAAUUUCCUUUCCCAAAGAAGGAAAUAAGAUAUUUCGGUUUUGUAAAAGAGGCAAAACCAGGUACAGGCCACCUUUCCUGCUGGAGAGCUGGCAUAAGUGAGUGGA
rnacentral:lncRNA from 1 species